rnacentral:rRNA from 1 species
CGCUGGCGGCGUGCCUAACACAUGCAAGUCGAGCGAGGAGAUCCUUCGGGAUGAUCCUAGCGGCGGACGGGUGAGUAACACGUGGGCAACCUGCCUCAUAGAGAGGAAUAGCCUUCCGAAAGGGAGAUUAAUACCUCAUAACAUUGCAGUUUCGCAUGGAACAGCAAUUAAAGGAGUAAUCCGCUAUGAGAUGGGCCCGCGGCGCAUUAGCUAGUUGGUGAGGUAACGGCUCACCAAGGCGACGAUGCGUAGCCGACCUGAGAGGGUGAUCGGCCACAUUGGGACUGAGACACGGCCCAGACUCCUACGGGAGGCAGCAGUGGGGAAUAUUGCACAAUGGGGGAAACCCUGAUGCCAGCAACGCCGCGUGAGUGAUGACGGCCUUCGGGUUGUAAAGCUCUGUCUUCAGGGACGAUAAUGACGGUACCUGAGGAGGAAGCCACGGCUAACUACGUGCCAGCCGCCGC